rnacentral:tRNA from 1 species
GACUUCGGCGGACAGCGGCCGGUCCUCGGCGCUUGGGUCGUCGAGGACGAGGCCGCCGGGCUCGGCAUCCGCGAGACCUCC